GACGAACGCUGGCGGCGUGCUUAACACAUGCAAGUCGAACGGUGAAGCCCUUCGGGGUGGUUCAGUGGCGAACGGGUGAGUAACACGUGAGCAACCUGCCCCUGGCUCUGGGACAACCACUGGAAACGGUGGCUAAUACCGGAUACGACCCGCCUCGGCAUCGAGUGUGGGUGGAAAGUUUUUCGGCUGGGGAUGGGCUCGCGGCCUAUCAGCUUGUUGGUGAGGUGAAGGCUCACCAAGGCGACGACGGGUAGCCGGCCUGAGAGGGCGACCGGCCACACUGGGACUGAGACACGGCCCAGACUCCUACGGGAGGCAGCAGUGGGGAAUAUUGCACAAUGGGCGAAAGCCUGAUGCAGCGACGCCGCGUGAGGGAUGACGGCCUUCGGGUUGUAAACCUCUUUCAGCUCCGAAGAAGCGAAAGUGACGGUAGGAGCAGAAGAAGCACCGGCUAACUACGUG
rnacentral:rRNA from 1 species